AGAGAUGUUCACUCUCCAAGAGAACUUUAUAGCCUUAAGAAAUGACCACAUCUGCUCAAGUGUAGCCUCCUGCUAGUGCAGAAAUGUGGGGAAAAAUAUUGCUGAAGUUAAAAUGUAAACCUAAUUUUCUACUCAAAGAGAAAUCUGAAAAAGAAGAACUGGGUCCUGACAUCACUCUGCUACCUUAGACAUCACACUUAGAUUUUCAUUAGAACUACAAAGCAAUUUGUAUCAACCUGCUGCCUCAUGUGGAUUUAAUUAUGCUGUAACCUGUGAAUUAGAUCACACCCAGCAUCAGAGGCUUGUGGGUGUGUUUAAUCCUCAUGUCAAAGGCCCUUGUCCAAAGUCCCUCUCCAGCUCUCUUGGAGCCCCU